UACAGCCGCUGAAUGGUCGGUCAGGCGCGGUGCGGGACCUAGAGGCCCCGGACCUCCUGGCCUCCCAGAACCUCUCGGAGGGUGAGGCUCAACCUGGACUGGCAGCCUCUGAGGCGUAUGUCCCUUCUUGCCACUCUAUGGGGGCACCACGGAGAGUGAGUGGGCUACCUAAAGUGGGGACAGAGUCUGCAAACUCCCUGUCCCUGGGUAAUGUCACUGAGGCCUAGGUUCUGCCUCCCACUGGCCACUUCUGAGCUCCCAUCGCCCCUACCCAGUCUUCCCUACGAAGCAGCUAGAAACGGAGCCCAGAGACAACCAGAAUGCCAGGGGACGGAGAAGGUGGCAUGGUGGUUAAGGCAGCUGGAUCCCACGGAGUAGUUCCAGACCCAAACCUCGGGCUCAGACAGCUGGCAACAAAAGACGCCCAGAUAAAGUCUCAGAACCUGGAUCCCCAGGAAGGAGGCUCAGAAACUGAGAGGAUCCACACCCACGACCUGGGCCACUGAGGAGGUGAUGGAGUACAAGGCUCCUGUGGAGGGGAUCGCAGUUGGUGUGGUGAUUAGAGGCACUGAAAUUAAAACAGUAAUAAUAAUAAUAACAGUAACGAAUGUAAAUAAAUAAAUAUUAAAAAUAAAAGACUCCUGUGGGCACCUUUAUGCUGGUUUCUUGGGAUCCAGCGCAGGAUCUCAGUCCAAAACAUUGGCCUCCUGUAAGUUGUAUUUAACAAAACCAACAUGGGUAUUCUCCUCACACCAACUGUAUCGAUUCCUGUCAUGCAUAGAACCUGGGAAAGUGAUCUCUGAGUGGGUCCAGGGACACAGUGAACCUACUGUGGGCUGGGCCUGGGUCAAAACUAUUGAUACCCUGGUUUCAUAUACCCCCAAUACUAACAGGGGACCCCAGUGAUGCUUUGGGUCCCUGAAGAUCAACAACUCUGACAGUAUUCGAAAUGUCUGGAUGCCUCUGAUCGAAUGAACCAUGAACCACACUACCACACUGACACAUCUUCAGGUCCUUUGCUCUUUUU